UACAGAGGAGCCAAGCGUUGUCCGGAUUGACUGGGCGUAAAGCGCACGCAGGCGGUCUGGCGCGUGGGGUGUGAAAUCUGGCCGCUUAACGGCCAGGCGCCAUCCCAUACGGCCGGACUGGAGCCUUGCAGAGGUCGGUGGAAUUGCCGGUGUAGUGGUGAAAUGCGUAGAGAUCGGCAGGAACACCCAGGGGGAAGGCAGCUCGCUGGGACGUGACUGACGCUGAGACGCGAAAGCGUGGGGAGCAAACAGG
rnacentral:rRNA from 1 species